rnacentral:rRNA from 1 species
GAGUUUGAUCAUGGCUCAGAAUCAACGCUGGCGGCGUGCCUAACACAUGCAAGUCGAACGAGAAAGUGGAGCAAUCCAUGAGUAAAGUGGGCGACCGGGUGAGUAACACGUGACCAAUCUACCCUUGAGUGGGGGAUAACCUCGGGAAACCGGGGCUAAUACCGCAUAACAUCUUCGGGACGGAAGUGCUGAAGAUCAAAGGAGCAAUUCGCUUAAGGAGGAGGUCGCGGCUGAUUAGCUAGUUGGCGGGGUAAUGGCCCACCAAGGCAGAGAUCGGUAGCGGCCUGAGAGGGCGCACGGCCACACUGGAACUGAAACACGGUCCAGACU